rnacentral:rRNA from 1 species
UACGUAGGGUGCGAGCGUUGUCCGGAAUUAUUGGGCGUAAAGAGCGUGUAGGCGGUUAGGUAGGUCCGUUGUGAAAACUCGAGGCUCAACCUCGAGACGCCGAUGGAAACCAUCUAACUAGAGUCCGGAAGAGGAGAGUGGAAUUCCUGGUGUAGCGGUGAAAUGCGCAGAUAUCAGGAAGAACACCCGUGGCUAAGGCGGCUCUCUGGGACGGUACUGACGCUGAGACGCGAAAGCGUGGGUAGCAAACAGG